rnacentral:lncRNA from 1 species
UAUUAGCGGUACAAUCCGUCGGUUGGAUUCCCCAUCUUUGCAGAGAUUCGAAGCAGCCGAAGUCGAACGUUUGUGCUGCUGGCUUUUCUAUUUUAUUACUUUCUUGCGGCCAAGGCUGUUCCAUCAUCAUGCCCCGCUUUUGAGAGGAUUUCGGAAUCCUUCGCGCUGAUCAACGUUUACUUGUCAAUGGCCUCUCCAAAAGAAGUUGAGAAUCAAAUCGCAAACAAAAGCUUUCUUUCCUCUCCCCUUUUUCUUUUUGUUGGUACCUCGAGCGAAAGCUGUUGCAAGCACCUUCACCUCGUUUCCUUGAAGCUGCUUCCUCCUGCAAGUGGCCUUAUUGUGCUGUAAUCGGAGAACCAAGUGAGUCUUCCUUAAAGUAGUGAUGCAGCUUCGUCUGUUUUUGUCAAUUUCCCUGUUGGAGUCGUAAAGGCUGGAUGGCG